UUUUACCAAAUUGACGACUUGUGUAAUACCUAGUCUCAGUGCCCAAAACAAAACCCCUUGCGUCCUCGCCGCACAGUUACACUCCGCAGCACACUGCAAUCGCCACCACGGACCAAGCUAGUUCCGCCGUCGACGUCGUCGGCCACCGUCACGUCUCGCCGUCAGUUUCUUUAAAUAAUUGAUAUCUGGAACUGUACAAGCAGAGGACAUGGCAAAUCAGUCUAAAGAAAACCAGCAAGCAACAAGUUCCACACCACCUAUCCAGAAAAGUGAGGAAGAUCAAGCAGCCAGCACCACUAUGGGCUUUAAAGAUUCAUUGGAAAAACAAUAUCGAAAAGUCAAAGAGCAUGCAGAAACAUACCCUUAUGUUUGGGCUUCCUAUAUUGUUGUAUAUGGUGGCUUUGCACUCUGGACUACUUAUAGAUGGAGAAAGCUUCGCAAGACAGAGGACAGAGUAAGAACUCAUCAAGAAAGACUACGUAAGCUCAUUGAAGCUGAAGAAUCUACUAGUUCAGCCAAAGUGGUUGAAAAGGGUUCUACAUCUUCUGAUAAGCCUUCCAAGUAGCUUACAGUAAGAAUAAUCCUUAUGAUGGUCAGGUUGUCUAGUUUACUUCCAUCAAUGUCACUUCUCUUUACCAUUGUAGUUGCUAGGGCAUGAAAUGAGUUUUUUAUUUUGCUCCGCUGAUCAACUGAUUCAUUAGAGGAAUUCCUCAAUUAUACUGAGCCUUGUAGAAAAUUGUUAAAAAUUGUCUGAUAGUUUUCUUUCUAAAGUUGUGACAAUAUUAUUGUUCUGAAUACAGUUUGCAGAUCUUCAGUUUCUAUAUUGAUUAGAGAUGGACCAAUGCAUUUUUUGUUAA